ACGGGGGGUGCGAACGUUGUUCGGAAUUAUUGGGCGUAAAGAGCGUGUAGGCGGCUGAGUAAGUCAGAUGUUAAAUCCCUGGGCUUAACCCAGGACGUGCAUUUGAAACUAUUCGGCUAGAGUAGUGGAGGGGAGAGUGGAACUCAUAGUGUAGAGGUGGAAUGCGUAGAUAUCAGGAGGAACGCCGGUGGCGAAGGCAGCUUUCUGGCCCUAUACUGACGCUGAGGCGCGAGAGCGUGGGUAGCAAUCAG
rnacentral:rRNA from 1 species